rnacentral:rRNA from 1 species
GAUGAACGCUGGCGGCGUGCCUAAUACAUGCAAGUCGAGCGAACAGAUGAGGAGCUUGCUCCUCUGACGUUAGCGGCGGACGGGUGAGUAACACGUGGAUAACCUACCUAUAAGACUGGGAUAACUUCGGGAAACCGGAGCUAAUACCGGAUAAUAUAUUGAACCGCAUGGUUCAAUAGUGAAAGACGGUUUUGCUGUCACUUAUAGAUGGAUCCGCGCCGCAUUAGCUAGUUGGUAAGGUAACGGCUUACCAAGGCAACGAUGCGUAGCCGACCUGAGAGGGGGAUCGGCCACACUGGAACUGAGACACGGUCCAGACUCCUACGGGAGGCAGCAGUAGGGAAUCUUCCGCAAUGGGCGAAAGCCUGACGGAGCAACGCCGCGUGAGUGAUGAAGGUCUUCGGAUCGUAAAACUCUGUUAUUAGGGAAGAACAAAUGUGUAAGUAACUAUGCACGUCUUGACGGUACCUAAUCAGAAAGCCACGGCUAACUACG